UUUAAAAUGUAAGUAUGACCCAUGCAAUAUUAGGGACAUACUUACACUAAAA
rnacentral:pre_miRNA from 1 species